AAUAAGUAAUCCACCUGGGGAGUACGACCGCAAGGUUGAAACUCAAAGGAAUUGACGGGGGCCCGCACAAGCAGUGGAGUAUGUGGUUUAAUUCGAAGCAACGCGAAGAACCUUACCAGGUCUUGACAUCCCGUGCAUAGUCUAGAGAUAGAUGAAGUCCUUCGGGACGACGGAGACAGGUGGUGCAUGGUUGUCGUCAGCUCGUGUCGUGAGAUGUUGGGUUAAGUCCCGCAACGAGCGCAACCCUUAUCGUUAGUUACUACGCAAGAGGACUCUAGCGAGACUGCCGUUGUACAAACGUAGGAGGGAAGGGACGGGGACGGACGUACAACGUCAUCAUGGUCCCUUACGACCGACGGGCUACACACGUGCUACAAUGGUAGGUACGAGGAGGGUUGUCUAC
rnacentral:rRNA from 1 species